AAUGCCCACCACUGAUUAUAGACAAAAAUCUCAAAAUCGCCACAAAAUCCACAACUCAAGUUUCUUUGUACGAAAAACAUAGGGUGAAAAAACAAUCGCCAACCAGCGAAUCAUUCCAUGGUGGCUUUGGUGUCUCCAAUUGAUAACUAUUUCGUCCUCUAUAGACUUUUUCUUGAAGUUUUCGCUUUACUGUGCACCAUUAACGGUCUCAGAUGAUUGUAAAGUUCUAUUAGCUUCUGCUAGUAUAAAUUGAGAAGGAACGACAAAAGUUACAGAUAUAACUGAGGAUUUUAAAGAUGCAACUCGGCUUGUGGCACUGGGUUUGGGAUAUAAUGAGGUUCUUUUUCUUUGUGAUGUUUGUUAUUUUUCAAUCAAUGUGAGAUCAGUCGGAAUUUUUGCUAUAUUUUUCCAUUGACAAUGUAUAUGGUGGCUUAAGAUUGGAAUUUAAAACUUUUUCAACACAAUUAUAAUUACUUUGUGAGGUUUGACAGUCGAGUUUUGUUUUGUGUAAAAUGCUAUGUGGAUAUUUGUUUAUGAAAUGCUAUGAAAAUUCUCCUAUGUGAUCUUUCUUUAUUUCUUCAAUCUUGAUAUACAGAGUUGAUUGCAAAACGUUCUUUAUGUAUUAUUUGCUGUACUAUAGUUUUGUUUUAGAAGAGAAAUACUGCAAUGUGAUUACUUAUUAGAAUGGGCAUCUGCAUAUAGAGUUCAUUUGCUUACCAUGGUGAAGUGCUGUUUUGGUACUUUGACUAAAUUCUAUUUGACAUGUCAUGGGUGAAUAUGAUGUCUGGUUUUAAAGCUAGCGUCAAGGUGUAAUAAUAGUUGGUACUAUGCCCUUGUUUACUACAAUUGGUGAUGUUGAAUACUAAUUUGUUUUCACUUAGCUAGUGCUUACUGCAAUAUGUUCAAUACUAAAUAUUAGUUGCUAAUACUGAUCUUGUGAUUACGUUCGCGUAUCUGACAACACAAAUGGUAUUACAAAAUUCUCGUGCUGCAUUUUAUCUUCAUUUUAUUGUAGUUUUUAUGCCUUGGUGAUAUUUUGUACUCGUUCAGUGUAAUUUUGGUAUGGAUAUCAGGUUUAGGAAAUAUUGUUGAGGCGUUGAUCAAGAAAUUGAACAUAUCGAAAGAGAGGGGGGUCCUAGGUCUCCAAGGGAACUACUGCAAAGUACUGGGAGAAGCCCACUAAGCAAAGCCCAAAUCGCAGCCCCUGUUUUAUCUUGCAGCCCCGUUGUAUUGUUGGUUAUUAGAUUGAAGCAAAGCAGCUCCUGUUUCUUGUAACUUUUUGUAUAGAGCAAGGUUGUAACUCUCCUGUCUUUAUCCUUGUUCCUAGUCUAAUUGUCCCUUUUUAGUUCAA